GAUGAAGAACGUAGCGAAAUGCGAUAAGUAAUGUGAAUUGCAGAAUUCAGUGAAUCAUCGAAUCUUUGAACGCACAUUGCGCCCGCUAGUAUUCUGGCGGGCAUGCCUGUCCGAGCGUCAUUUCAACCCUCAAGCCCCCGGGCUUGGUGUUGGGGAUCGGCGAGCCUCCGCGCCCGCCGUCCCCUAAAUCUAGUGGCGGUAUCGCUGUAGCUUCCUCUGCGUAGUAGCACACCUCGCACUGGGAAACAGCGCGGCCACGCCGUUAAACCCCCAACUUCUGAACGUUUGACCUCGGAUCAGGUAGGAAUACCCGCUGAACUUAAGCAUAUCAAUAAGCGGAGGA
rnacentral:misc_RNA from 1 species